ensembl:lncRNA
AAGAGUUUAAAGUGUCUUUGAAGAAAAAAGAAAAAUAAAAGGACAGCCAACUUUUUAAAACUACAUGCAAGUCACCUUCUGUACUUGCUGGAAAGGAAAAGGUAUUCACCCAAAGGUGUGGGCUUUCAGCCAUGACCUGAAAAGGGUACACCGGGAUGGCAGAGAAGAAUGAGCAGUGCCCAAAACUCUGGAGAGAUCACAAAAGGAACAGCUAGAAGCAGAGCCAUCACCAUGGGGUCAAAACCAGGCACGACUGCUUCCAGGGGACAGGUGUCAGAUGGGCUGCCAUUUCCGGGAUGGACGCAUUCAUGGGAACUGGAUGGUUCCACAAGGGACUGAAGCCAAAGGAAGCUGGUUUUAAAAUCUUACUACAAAUGUGUUUGUGAAGCCAGGCCUCAAGCCACCUGGCAGCAAGGUUCUUCUCUGGUGAAAGGAAGUGGAAGGCCCUUGGGGGCCUCCUUGCUUCUUACACUUCUGGCUGUCUCAUUUUGAUCUUCCCUUGGGUUGCUUCCAUUUCUCUUGUAGCUAAGGGCCUGUCACAUGCCAGGAACUCUGAGGAGCUCAGGAAUUAAUGAGACUGCUACCACCCCAGCAGUUCAUGGCCUAGUAAAGAAAGAGGUCUAAUAAAACCCAGAGCUGAGGAGGAAGACUUCUAGUUACACUUCAUAGAAGGAGUGGCUUGAGCAAAGCCUGCAAGAAUGUACCCAAUGCCUCGGAUGUGGCAGGCUAAAGGGCUUUUGAUAGGUAAAAGCAAGAGUGUCUGUCAUGUGCUGCACACCAAUGCUUUCCAUGGGUUAUUUUACUUAAGUUUACUUUAAUAAUUUAUUGAUUGAUUCUAUAUAUCAGAUUUUAGGGAUCUAACCAUGAUCAGUGGAGUCUCUUUCCUCAUGGAAGUUAAGAAUCAACUGAUACAGCAGGCAGGAUAUGCCCAUGUCCUAAUCCACAGAUGCUGUGAAUAUGUUCUGUCACAUGGCAAAGGAGAAUUAACGCUUGUGUUAGUCUGCUUUUCAUCAUUGUGACAAGAUACCUAAGAAAAUCAACUUACAGGAAGAAAGAUUGACUUUGGCUGAUGGUUUUAGAGGUGUCAGUCCAUGGUCACUUGGCUCCAUUGCGUCUGGGCCCACAGUGAGGUAGGAGCAUCUCCAUCUGGGGACCUUUGCGUGGUGUCCUGUUAGCGCUGACCACCCCACUUUGUCACCAGCAUUUGAGGCUCCUGGUAACUAUACCAUAAUUCUCAUGAGCCACAGAAGUGGAGUGCUGGGAUUUUAGAUGGUCCACAAGAGAAGGAACUUGAACUCUCGAAGCACCUGGCCACACAACUCCAGUCAGGGCCAUGUGGCCCAGAACCAUGCAGUAGUCUCUCCUAUGCCUUUGACCCUAACACACAGAGAGAGUGUGUCAGUCGAGGUGGGCUAGGGUUGCCUAUGAUAACAAAAUCUGCCCAGCAUCUCAGUGACUUAAAAACAAAGCUUACUUCUUGUUUGUGCACCAUGUACACCAUGGUUCUGCCUCAGCACAGAGCUCCAGGAGCCGGGGUGAUCAAAGAUCCACCUCAGAAGAGGUUUCCAUGACCACCAGAGCAAGAAAGAAGGUAGAGGCCAGCCACACUCUGGCUCCUGAGGGAUACACCUGAAAGAAAAAAAACUCUUCUACCCAUACUUUCUCAGCCAAAGCAGUUGCAUGCACGCCUCCAAGUCUAAAAGGAUGAGGACUUACAAACCAUCACAGCACAUGCUGCUGGCACCCCACCCAGAUCUCCUGAGAUUCCUCCUGUUGAUUUGGAUGCUGUCCUGCCCACUGCUGUCCCAGGUCCUUCGCUCACGGUCGACCCUGCCAGGCUUCUCUACAACAUCAUCCUUGGGCAACUGGACCUGUCAUGUAUAAUUUGUGCAGUUAGAAAACACAAACCACCAACCCAUGCAGGGCUCAGAAGACCCUGGUUCCGGGGAGCUGAGGGCACCCACAGCGCCCUCCGGACGUGAGCUACAGGCCAGGGGAAGAGCCCGCUGCCAGAGGAUGCCCUGAUUUGGCCCCAAGUAUUCCUCAGCUGGAUUUGACCCUCAGCGUUGUAAAGCUUGAGGUUUCCCCAAAGCCUUGCAAAACACCAUCCACCUCCCAGGUGGGACACCUGAAUCUGCAGUCAACAGCAAACCAGUACACCUGGCUUCCGUGCAAGUCCUGGCUCACGCGAGAGAAACAGGAAGAAGGCAUGGUGUGCCUGGCUCGGCUGAGAUGCCUGCACCCUGGCAGCCUUUCCAGGAGCACAAAGGCAGUCAGUCCAGCUCUGAGGCCCCUGCUGCCGCUGCUCUGGCCAUUCAGGAGCCCUUGCAGGCCACGGCCAGAGGAAGAGGCGUCUGCCUCCUUCGAUUUAAAAAAUGAGGACCCCAGAUGCCCACUCCUCAAGCCACUUUAUCAUUUACCCUGAGAAGUGAGCGACACGGUCAAGCCCACCCUGGGACACAGGAAGAGUGUAUGGCAGGUGACAGGCGGCAGCCAGCGGCAGCUUCAGUAGGGACCCGGUUCUUCCCGAGGGCCACCAGACUUUGCCGUCCCAAGUAGAAGCAGCACGGAGGUCUGUUCAGCUCAGCCUUGCCCAGAAAUCCACACCAAGGCCUUCAGCACACGGGGACAAGACUGACAAUCUCCCUUCUGUGGCAUCCCGUGCAGCCUCAUGCCCUCCUGUGGACAGGACUUGCAGUUAACUGAGAUAAGCCAUGGAUGGUCGGGUUCAGCAUUGGCCCCACUCGGAACCACGGCAGCAUCUCCCAGGAAAUCAAAGUGUCUUGUCCUCUCCGAGCAGCGAGCUCACAUGGCGGGCAGCAGCUGGUCUCUCAGGUCACAGAUGCGGAGUGGACCAAUCGAGGGUUUUGUCUGCAAGACCUGUGUCGGAGUCCUAGCUCUGUGAGUUCAUCACUGAGUGAUGUUAGAGAAGAAGCUUAGCUGUUUUCUCACUAUAAAAUGGAAAUAAGACUUCCCACCCAGCCCCUACUUUUCCUUCUGAUAAAAGACCACGUCUUUUUCUCUCCUCAUUGCCCUGCAUGGCAAGAGUCAGACAGUGCAACGGUCAAGCAAGACACAGACUCGCCUUUCUCUUCUUGCUUCUGGAAGCUGGCUUAACCUUCUUAGGCUGAACUGGAAUAACACCCAACAAGUGGGUUGGGUUUUAGUAAUUAGACCACGGCAAGUGGGGCUAUAUCGCACACGUGUUGGGGUCAGAAGAUCAUCUAUAAUUUAGAGAAGCAAUGAAAUACUUGUUGGCGGUUUGGUUUUCCUGUGAGUGAGAAGUCAUGACCUUUUCGACACAUCCGGAAGCGCUGGUGAAGUGCAAAGGUUGGCGCUGUCAGAACUGCGCUCUGUCAGUGGCUGCAUACUUUACGUUAUUGCUACGUAACUCAUUCUGUACCAAAUGGACUGGACUGCGUAAACAAAGUUACCCAGAAGAUGAGGGAUGGUAAUAAAGAUUUCCAUGAACAUCCCAAAUGCACAAAUUUCCAGCCAGCUUGUCUUUAUCUACAUUGAAGUCUCAAAUGGGAAUUUCUGCAAAUUCAUAAUAUUUUGAAAUCUGUCUCUCCUUCAAAACUCAAAAAUAAUCGCUUUGUUUUUAAGAGCUUUUAAAACGGGAUGUUUUCCCCACAGUUUCCAUUGGACACCAUCUAGCCCCUGUGGGACCACCGACUUGCACGUGAGCAGUUCUGGGGAUUUUCUCUGCUCCAGAUUCUCACACACUCUGAGCUGUCUCAAGCGAACAAAGCAGGAUUCGCUCAAGUUUGUCUCUUUCCAACCCGGCAGCGAAUGUUCUUCUGAGAGCCAGGCUUGCCACUGUGCACUUGGCCUGGUGCUGUGCCCGGGGGCCUGGGCUCCUUUGGAAGGAAGAAAACCUGGGCCAACUGCACGGAAGGGACUCAGUACAGCUAUGACAUAACCACUCAGAGAAGGGAGGGUUGGGAAGGAAUAAAAUGAUGGCUCCCGGUGCCUCAGAGUAGUGGGUGCUGCUUUUUCUUUUUCAAAAGGCACUUUCAAAACACCGUUGGGUUCCACAAGAGACCUCCUGUGACCGUUAAUCUUGAUAUGUCAGCUUCAUUGGAUUAAGAAGUGUCUCGAAGAUUGGCAAAGCACACUGCUGAGUGUUUCUGAGUGGGCCAUGGAGGUGUGGUCCACAUCCGGGCCCUGGGCCUUUCCUCUGGCACUGUUCUCCUGUGGUUUCCAGCCACCAUGCACUGAAGAGCUCUGCUCCACCACACCCUUCCACCAUGAUGCUUCUGCCCUGGAGCCAGCUGAUGGGGCUGAAUUCCCUCAACUGUGAGGAAAUUAAACCUCUUCUCCCAUAUGUUACAAGUGCCAGGUCCCUGGCAGGACUGCGCUCUGCACACCACGGUGGUCGGUGACACGUUCUGCGCCCUCCCACCUUCUCCUUCCCCCUCUCGAUUCCCAGAUAAACUUCUUGAUCUUGAAGCCUGGUGCCCAGGUUAGCUUCAAGGGAGACUGAGGUGCAACAAGACCUGUUGCUGCUACCAAGCUCCCAAGAGGGUAAGUUAGAUGUGAAUCCUGCUCUGGUCCUAUGUCCAAACCACCGCCACCACCUGGGUGGCCGCGUGCAGUGAUGAAGUGUGUGGCCACAGCUGUGUGUGUGGCCACAGCUCUGUGUGUGGCCAGAGGGGGCUUCCUGGAGGAGUGGGAGGAGAGGAAGGAGGUGGAACGGGAAUUUUUACAGUAAAAGACACACUGCCAUGAAUCCUCCUCAAAACACUCCCCCUGACUUCAAACACAUUCAUCCCAUUUUUCUUACCACUUUCUGAAGCAGAUCCGAAGCCUUCUUUCCUGAGUGUCUUUAGUUGUGCUGUUGUGGCUCCUCAAUGUCCCGAAUUGAUUCAAACUAUUUCACUUUCAUUUUGGCUCUGGGGAAGAGCCAGGAGUCACAUGGUGCCAGAUCCAGUGAAUGAGGUGGAUGAGGACACAGUGUCGUGUUUUUACAAGCUGCUUUUCCAUUGGAAGACACUCAGCAGCAGCAUUCACCAUAUUUUUGAUCACACCUCAUGUAGACACCCACAAAAGAGGACUCCAGAGCUGCUUCAGAAAGUGCCAAGAAUGAUGGGAUAUGUGCAUUCAAAGAGGGGGUAGGGGAGGAUUUUGAGGGGGAUUCGUCUCUGCUGUAAGAAAUUCCCUUUAAUUCAAACACUCAUCAUAUUUGCUGAUCACCCCUUGUGUAUCUCAGGGAGGGCGAGGCUGGAGUUCUGCCUGCCGUGGUCCAGGCUUUGAUAACCCAGAUAAAGCCUGCUGACAGAGUGGGUCUGACCCUGUCCCCUCAGGAGACCCCUCUCCCUGGAGACAUGGCUGCCCGCCUAACCCUCAUGGAGGCCCACAGUAGGUGUCGGGCCUCAGGCCAAAGAGCUGGGGAUACCAUACGCUGUGCACAGCCCACCAUGCCAGGGGUUGCCCACUCUGUGUUCUUCCAUGUCUGCCGUCUUCCCCCCGGGGACCCUCCAUGACAGGCCACCAUGCGUCCGGCUCUCUGCUAUCCGCUGAGCCCUGCACCUGGCCCACACAUCAUGGGGGCCGCAUCUCCACCCCAUCCUGAGCUUGUCCUCCCCUGUGCCUGGCCACCGGUCCCAAGGCUGGACGCCUGGUCUCAGAGGCCUGGACAACGGAGUCCGCCAUGACGACUCCCAGCCUGGAGCAGCAGGAGGAGUGGCUGGGUGACAUUUAAUCACUCAAGACCCUGAAGUAACAGCCCUGCCCAAGCACCCCAUUUCCUGCUGCAGGAGAUGGGUGCUCUGCACUGCUUGUUUCAGAGGUGGGAAGACACACCAGCAGGAAGAAAUCGAUGAAUUGAUGGCCUCCCUCCAGCUCCAAAGGCCCUGAAUCAAUUAAUUUCCGAGGCACAGGGACUGAUACCAAACGGACCCUCAACCAGCUCGAGUUGAACGCAGCAGAUGGUUGGUGGAUGAGCAGGAAGGUGUAUCCCCAAGUUCAAUGGCGAAAUCAGAGAGGACAUCAGAGUCGCCAAGCGGGUCUGGCUCUCCUUCCUCCCCUCAGAACCCCUGUCCCUCUCCAAACACAAACAUGCCCUCCCCAGCACCCAGCUCACAGGGCAGUGGAGAGGCCAACAAAAAUCAAGACACAAAAAGACUUUUAAGGAAAGAAAAUAAGGAGGAAUAGAGGGGUUGAAAGGAGAGGAGAGGAAUGAGAAAAAAAGAAGCAAAAUACAUCAUGUACAGGUACAAAUUCUCUAUGAUGAAUGUUAUCAUUAUGUAUAUCUGAAAUGUAUCAUUAUGUAUAUCUGAAAUGUAUCAUUAUGUAUAUCUGAAAA